GCCAAGCCAUAUCCACCUUGUUUGGGAUCUAUAACAGCAAUAGAAAAAUGUAUGAAAACUUCCAUUGAUUUAGUUCCAGAGUUUCUACUACACUUACUGGUUCCUAUCCUCCACAGACUCUUUUACUGGCAGUCACCUGGCAUCCUGUGAAAUAUUACUGCUUUCGUCUUCAAAGAGCACUAGCUUCAGAAGAGGCCGCACAGUGAUUGUGGUGGAUCAAGAGAAAAAGAACAACUCUCUACAGUCAGAUGGUGCUCACACCUGAGGUUCAAAGAAGACUCAGGAUUCCUUGAAGGAGGAGCCCAAAAUCAGCAACAGGUAGCAGCACAGCAUCCAAAGCCACCCACCUCCAAGCUUUCCCUUGGGCUGAACUGAGUUUGGGUUCCUGUCUGUUCACAAGAUGAUGUCAACCUGUGUGGCACCCAGAAGACUCACCAACCCCUGAGAGAGUAGCCAACCAUGAGUGCCAGGUAAAGGCAUGGCCCCCUCGGGUGCUCACACUGCUUCAAGAUUUCACUUGGUCUGAACAGUGAGUGCCUGGUGGGACUGGUCUGGAAGAUGGAGAUAUGACAAGCAGUGGCAUCCACAGCCAAAGAAAACAUGUUAUGGUACUGCUGCUGUUGGUGAGUAACUGAACACAGAAAAAGUGUCUUUUUCUCAGGUAAAGUCACUAGAAAGAAAAUUUUUAUCUCUUCUGGGUGACAUUCUAGGGCAAUAUUGUGAUCAAUGGUUUGAUUCCACAGGAGGCAUUCUUGCACCUCUUAGAUGAUGCUGACACUACCCCUCAUGAUGUCAAUGCUUGCUAAAUGAUAAGAUGUUCUGGAUGGCUCGCAAGCCAGGCCUCUGCAGCUUGCUCCCUUUGCUAAGUUGACGGACACUAAUGAUUACAUAUGGACAGACCAAAAGUCUGGACUGACUUGGUUUCGUGACAAAACCAAGCCCUGUAUCUGCCAGAACUGGACCAAAGGCCUUUUGUAUCAAAUAUUUCACAACCUGUUUUGUUCUCACAGACUGGCAGGGACACAUGGAGA